rnacentral:rRNA from 1 species
AGUGAACGCUGGCGGUAGGCCUAACACAUGCAAGUCGAACGGAAGCACAGUAAGAGCUUGCUCUUACGGGUGGCGAGUGGCGGACGGGUGAGGAAUACAUCGGAAUCUACUUUUUCGUGGGGGAUAACGUAGGGAAACUUACGCUAAUACCGCAUACGACCUACGGGUGAAAGCAGGGGAUCUUCGCACCUUGCGCGAUUGAAUGAGCCGAUGUCGGAUUAGCUAGUUGGCGGGGUAAAGGCCCACCAAGGCGACGAUCCGUAGCUGGUCUGAGAGGAUGAUCAGCCAACACUGAACCGGAGAAAGGUCCAAACUCCUAAGGGAGGCAGCAGGUGGGAAUAUUGGACAAUGGGCGGAAGCCUGAUCCAGCCAUACCGCGUGGGUGAAGAAGGCCUUCGGGUUGUAAAACCCUUUUGUUUGGGAAGAAAAGCAGGAGGAUAAUACCCCGCUGUUCUGACGGUACCCAAAGAAGAAGCACCGGCUAACUUCGUG